GUUUACGGCCAUACCACCCCGAACGCGCCCGAUGUAGUUGGAUCUCGGAAGGUAAGCAGGGUUGCACUAGUUUCGUACCUGGACCAAGUCCUCAAGGGAAUGCCGGGUGAUGUAAAAU
rnacentral:rRNA from 1 species